AUUGAACGCUGGCGGCAUGCCUUACACAUGCAAGUCGAACGGUAACAGGUUAAGCUGACGAGUGGCGAACGGGUGAGUAAUGCAUCGGAACGUGCCCGAUCGUGGGGAUAACACUUCGAAAGAAGUGCUAAUACCGCAUACGAUCUGAGGAUGAAAGCGGGGGACCGUAAGGCCUCGCGCGAUCGGAGCGGCCGAUGUCAGAUUAGGUAGUUGGUGGGGUAAAGGCUCACCAAGCCGACGAUCUGUAGCUGGUCUGAGAGGACGACCAGCCACACUGGGACUGAGACACGGCCCAGACUCCUACGGGAGGCAGCAGUGGGGAAUUUUGGACAAUGGGCGCAAGCCUGAUCCAGCAAUGCCGCGUGCAGGAAGAAGGCCUUCGGGUUGUAAACUGCUUUUGUACGGAGCGAAAAGGCUCCCUCUAAUACAGGGGGCUCAUGACGGUACCGUAAGAAUAAGCACCGGCUAACUACGUGCCAGCAGCCGCGGUAA
rnacentral:rRNA from 1 species